GAAGGAGUCUGUGAAGGACGUCUGACUAAAGAUGAAGGCUCUUCAGCAAAGAUAUAUGGGGGCUUUGUGAAGAAGAAGGAGGAAGAGGCACAUGUUGUGUCUUCCCAUGUCAAGAGAAGACCCUCUGUGAAGAGGAAGAAUGUGUGCCCUUCCGUUAACCAACACCAGGUGGCUCAUAUAGCACAUGCAUUUUGAGAAAUGCAUCAUCAACAACAACAACAUCAACAAUAUCAACAACAACAUCGUCC
rnacentral:lncRNA from 1 species